rnacentral:tRNA from 1 species
GCGCCCUUAGCUCAGUUGGAUAGAGUGGCUGACUUCGAAUCAGUAGGCCGCGGGUUCGAAUCCUGCAGGGCGUGCCA